rnacentral:rRNA from 1 species
UUUUGGACAAUGGGCGCAAGCCUGAUCCAGCCAUUCCGCGUGAGUGAAGAAGGCCUUCGGGUUGUAAAGCUCUUUCGCAAGGGAAGAAAACUUACUUUCUAAUAAAGAGUGAGGUUGACGGUACCUUGAUAAGAAGCACCGGCUAACUACGUGCCAGCAGCCGCGGUAAUACGUAGGGUGCGAGCGUUAAUCGGAAUUACUGGGCGUAAAGCGUGCGCAGGCGGCUUUGUAAGUCAGAUGUGAAAUCCCCGAGCUCAACUUGGGAACUGCGUUUGAAACUACAAGGCUAGAAUAUGUCAGAGGGGGGUAGAAUUCCACGUGUAGCAGUGAAAUGCGUAGAGAUGUGGAGGAAUACCAAUGGCGAAGGCAGCCCCCUGGGAGUAAUAUUGACGCUCAUGCACGAAG